AUGCACGCUGGCGGCGUGCCUCAUACGUGCAAGUCGAGCGAACAGACGAGGAGCUUGCUCCUCUGACGUUAGCGGCGGACGGGUGAGUAACACGUGGAUAACCUACCUAUAAGACUGGGAUAACUUCGGGAAACCGGAGCUAAUACCGGAUAAUAUAUUGAACCGCAUGGUUCAAUAGUGAAAGACGGUUUUGCUGUCACUUAUAGAUGGAUCCGCGCCGCAUUAGCUAGUUGGUAAGGUAACGGCUUACCAAGGCAACGAUGCGUAGCCGACCUGAGAGGGUGAUCGGCCACACUGGAACUGAGACACGGUCCAGACUCCUACGGGAGGCAGCAGUAGGGAAUCUUCCGCAAUGGGCGAAAGCCUGACGGAGCAACGCCGCGUGAGUGAUGAAGGUCUUCGGAUCGUAAAACUCUGUUAUUAGGGAAGAACAAAUGUGUAAGUAACUAUGCACGUCUUGACGGUACCUAAUCAGAAAGCCACGGCUAACUACGUG
rnacentral:rRNA from 1 species